UUCCCGGUGUUUUCCGCGAUUUGGUUAUUGUGAUUGACUGCUAUUUCAUCCAACGGCUGCCGUUGAAUUUGCUUGCACAUGAAUCACUCACGCUAACUGUUGGUUGGUCGGUUACUCAUUGCCGAUUUGCCAUUGUUUUACUUAUGGUUUAUGGGCUC